rnacentral:rRNA from 1 species
GAUGAACGCUGGCGGCGUGCUUAACACAUGCAAGUCGAACGAAGCACUGUUGAUAGAUUCUUCGGAUGAUAGAUACAGUGACUGAGUGGCGGACGGGUGAGUAACGCGUGGGUAACCUGCCUCAUACAGGGGGAUAACAGUUAGAAAUGACUGCUAAUACCGCAUAAGCGCACAGGACCGCAUGGUCUGGUGUGAAAAACUCCGGUGGUAUGAGAUGGACCCGCGUCUGGAUUAGCUAGUUGGUGGGGUAACGGCCCACCAAGGCGACGAUCAGUAGCCGACCUGAGAGGGUNACCGGCCACAUUGGGACUGAGACACGGCCCAAAAUCCUA